rnacentral:rRNA from 1 species
UGGGCUUGACAUCCCAAGAAUCUCCUGGAAACAGGAGAGUGCCCUUCGGGGAACUUGGUGACAGGUGCUGCAUGGCUGUCGUCAGCUCGUGUCGUGAGAUGUUGGGUUAAGUCCCGCAACGAGCGCAACCCUUGUCUUUAAUUGCCAGCAUUUAGUUGGGCACUUUAAAGAGACUGCCGGUGUUAAACCGGAGGAAGGUGGGGAUGACGUCAAGUCCUCAUGGCCUUUAUGCCCAGGGCUACACACGUGCUACAAUGGGUGGUACAAAGAGUUGCAACCUCGCGAGAGGAAGCUAAUCUCAAAAAGCCAUCCUCAGUUCGGAUUGGAGUCUGCAACUCGACUCCAUGAAGC